GAUGAAGAACGUAGCGAAAUGCGAUAAGUAGUGUGAAUUGCAGAAUUUAGUGAAUCAUCGAAUCUUUGAACGCACAUUGCGCCCUUUGGUAUUCCUUAGGGCAUGCCUGUUCGAGCGUCAUCUACACCCUCAAGCACAGCUUGGUGAUGGGCGCCUGUCCCGCCCCCCACGGGGGCGCGGACUCGCCUCAAAUGCAUAGGCGGCCGGCGACCUGGCUUCGAGCGCAGCAGAAACGCGUACUCGGGGACCGGGCGCCCGCUCCCAGAAGCCAACCCACCCAGUUUGACCUCGGAUCAGGUAGGGAUACCCGCUGAACUUAAGCAUAUCAAUAAGCGGAGGA
rnacentral:misc_RNA from 1 species